ACCUGGAUAGCUCAGUUGGUUAGAGCGUGGUGCUGAUAACAGCAAGGUUGCAAGUUUGAUCUCCGCACUGGGCA